rnacentral:rRNA from 1 species
GACGAACUGUGCAAACGUUAUUCGGAAUCACUGGGCUUAAAGGGUGCGUAGGCGGUCUGUUAAGUAGGGUGUGAAAUCCUCUGGCUCAACCAGAGAAUUGCGCCCUAAACUGUCAGGCUUGAGUGAGGCAGGGGUGUGUGGAACUUCCAGUGGAGCGGUGAAAUGUGUUGAUAUUGGAAGGAACGCCGGUGGCGAAAGCGACACACUGGGCCUUGUCUGACGCUGAGGCACGAAAGCCAGGGGAGCAAAC